GAGAUUUGGGGGUGACAGACCCUAGACCAGUUUGUGCGCAUGCGCGCACACGUACGCACACAUCCCAUUGACCAGAAGACAUUUACAAAUUACAGUUUUGAUUAUUUACCACCCUCUCUUCUCUGUUCACAUGCGUAUCUCCAGUCUCAAUCAACCUUUAGCCCAUCCCGACUCUUGGUAAAGUUUAUAAUUGAGCCCUCGCUGUUGAGCUGUGCUUGAGAAAUGGUUUGCUGCUUCCUGGGUUUCCAUGACGACAGCUUCCCACCCUGUGGCUGAAGGUAACCUCUGUCGACCAUGGCUGGGGGUAGUUAUCAAGCUGUCACGGGCAAUUUUCCUGCUCAUUUGAGAGAAGCAACAACCCAGAGAGGAAAUAACAGGAUGCCACGGCGAGAACGCACUCUCAUGUUGAAACCGCAAUUUCUGGAAAGACAUCUACUGUUGAACACAAGACCCUGGUCUCAGGAGAGUACGGCUGAUGCGGCCAAUCUUCUCAGUAGCAGAGUCAGUAAGAUAAUUGUGCUGGACUUGUGGCCAGACGACAGAGAGUGUCACAAGGACUUGGAUAUGUCAGAUGAGUAGUGGGGCCAUCAAUUCCUUUCUCGCGCAGCCCCAGCUCUUUGCUCGGUUACUGCAAAGAUGCGCUUGAUGCUCAAAUGAACCGACUGGGUGAAAGCCUGCUUGGUAAACUGUGAAAUCCUAUACAGCACCUUGACCCACCAAGGGAAGACGCGGAAAAAAUGGAGCAACAGGAGCCCACAUGUUAGAAACCAAGACUACUCCCAGCAAGAUAUCCUGUGAUGUCCACAUGUAUGCAAUUGGCAUUGAGUGUGCCCCUCCUCCAUUAGCCAAUGUACAGAAAAGAUGAAGGCUUCUAGAGAGAGUGUUCAAUGAAUGCACGAGGCUUUUCCAGAGGAACCAACUUGGGUUCCCAGCACCCACACUGGAUGGUUCAAUACCACACGAUUCCAGCUCUAAGGGAUCUGAUAUCUUUCCUCUGGCCUGUUCAGGCAUCUGCAUACAUAGCAUACAAUCACACAAAGAGAAGAUAAAUAAAGGGCAAACGUCAGCCUCUCGAGUGUGUUGUUAGUAGAAUGCAUGCAUGAAGCAUUUAAAGAGAGUCCCAACAUGAUGAAAAGAUGGAUCAUGAUGUAGCUCCCAGCUACAUGCUGCCAGCACCAUGCUGCCUAUCUGCCUCCACGUUCCCCACCACCGCGAUGCUGGACCAAACCUCUGAAACUGCAAGUAAGCCCUCCAUUAAACGCUUCCUUCUCUAAGUUGCCUUGAUCACGAUGGCUGUUCACAGCAAUAGAACAGUGGCUAAGACUGCCCCCCAACCCCCAUUUGAGUUAUUAGGAGAAAGGAAAGAAAGAUUCCCUGAGAAUCUCUCCAAGACAGAAUUCAUUCAUCAUACGAGUCCUAGAAAUUUUAAGCUUAUAAAAAAAUAAAACCAACAUUUACUGUGAAGCUACAAUUAAGAUUAAGAAUGGGAGGCACUAGCACAGAGAGGAAAACAGACUUGUGAGCAUCUAAGCAUCCCAGUGUUUUAAAGUAACAAAAAGCUAAAGUUGCCAAGCAGUGAGGAAAAGUCUGCCAUCCUGACUGACAGCAGCAAUGGUGAGACUGACCGACCUCAUACCGUAUAUACACAUGCCUACAGAAACAACUAAAGGGAGAAAAGAGGACAUUGAUCCCAGUGUUAGAGGCUCCAGUCUAUCCUGGCAGACAGAAAUUGAAACAAAGUAACAACAGGAAGAGGCCAGGAUGGGAUGUACCCCCUCAAGGAUACACCCUUAAUAACUGACUUUCCCCAAUUAAGCCUCGUUUAGGAAGUUUCUCCACCUCUAACAUGAUUAAACUGUGUCCCUGAAUUUCAACCGUUACAUGUAUGAUGACAAACUUCUAUGAAAAAGGAAUAACUUUGAAAACUUUUAGGAGACCAUCUGGAUUGUUUCACAGCAUGGAAUAAUUUUCUUCCAGGGGCUGGAAUGGACACAUCACACAGGUAAACCUUUCUAACGAUGGAACUGCUGUAUUAAGGUUGUGAUCUGGACCUGGAGCUAUAGUUCAGUUCACAGCAAGCUUGCCCCAAAUGCACAAGGUCCUAGGUUUAUCCCAACCACUGCAUAAACUGGGCAUGCGGGUACACACCUACAAUUCCAGGCCCUGGGUAGAGGUAGGAGAAGGGGAAAUGAAGUGGAAGUUUCUGGUUGUAUCAUGUGAUAUAGACUCACGUGAUGUUUUGCUGAGGCAAGACCUGAAUGUUUGGUGGUCUGUAAUGUUUGGCGAGAUAAUAAAUAGGACUCAAGGGGCAGCAAUGAAGGCUCAUAUAACUAGUUAUACAACACAUAGUUGGUCUCAAAUCUUCACUGAUCUUCACUUCAUUGAGAGAGGCAUGGUGGAGAACUCCUGGCAUUACAGCUGGCUCUAGUGGCUCCUGCUGACUAGUGCCAAUUCAGCGGAGGCCUGGUGGUUUCUGCUGGAAAGUCCCUCCAGUGCUGAUUCAUGAUUGGUGAUACCUUUGAACUAGACUGUUGGUAUCCUUGACAAACAGAAAUUGGAAUCAUCCCAAAGAACUAUUUCUAAAUAGGUCCACAUCCCCUUGUCCUAUUUAUCAUCUUUUGGGAGUUGAAGCAUUUGAGAGCCUUUAUUAAAGUAGGUUCUGAAAAAUCUAAGCCUAUGGGAAAUCAUUCUCAGUUACUGGAAAAUUCAAGGCCAGCCUCAAAUGCAAUGACACCCUGUCUCAAUUUUUUUAAGCCCUAAUAUAAUACAAAAGAAAACCAUAAUGAAAGAGGUGUGUAUUUAAAAAAAAAAAACAGAGCUAAUAUUCAGAGGAAUACAGAACUUUUAACAAUUCAGAAAGGAAAGAGCAGCUUGCCAGAAAGUGGCAAAAAUUAGAAACAGAUAUCUCACAGGAAAACAACACAGCAUGAGCAGCCCACGAAGCCACAGAAAGAUUCUAAACAAUAAUCAGAGAGAUGUCAUACUGUCAAAACAUUUGAAGUGAAGCAACACCAACUAUUGGCAGCGAUGUGAAGCCUCGGGAAAUUCUUAAGCACUGCUUGUGGGCAUUUAAAUGGUCACAGGGACUCUGGAAUGCUCUGGCUUGACCCUGCUUGGCACAAAUAGCUAGCUGUCCUUCAAUCCUCCUUCUCCCUCUUCCCAAUACUGUGAUGCUCCUGAGAAGUGCCUGCCACUAUUAUCACAAAUAAUUAGGGAGUUGAUUAAUGAAUGAAUCAAUUAACAAGUGUGACUGAAGAUUUGGAGAAACAGGAACCCCAGUGCCCUAUCAGUGGGGAAGUAAACUGAAGCAGCUGCCGCAGAGAGCAGUAAAUUAGUUGCUCAAAAUAUUAAAAAGAACCAUCGAAGGACUGUCCCACCCAACUUUGGGACUUGGGGAUUUUUUACCCCAAAUAAUUUAAAUCAGAAUCUUCAUGGCUCUUAAAAUAUAGGUCUAAAGAAUUGGAAAGAUGUAAGAAAUGCAUCUAGGGUCUAAAAAAAAUUGGCCAUAAAAUCCCAAGUAUGUUGGCAAGGCAAGAAGUUUCACUCCUGCAGGAGGGUGGUAGCUAUGCAAAUCAAGCAGUCAGUUUGGGGCUGCUGGUUUUUUAUUUCAUAAUGGAAAAGGGUCCUGUGCCUCACCCCAAGGCAGUGGUUCUCAACCUGUGGGUCUUGACCCACUUGAGGGGUCGAAUAUGAGAUAUCCUGCAUAUGAGUUGCAUUAUGAUUCAUGAUAGUAGCAAAAUUAUAAUUAUGAAAUAGCAACAACAUAAUUCUAUGGUUGGGGGUCACCACAACAUGAGGAACCAUAUUAAAGGGUCACAGCAGUAGGAAGGCUAAGAACUGCUGCUUUGAGUGGUCAGAGGUGGGUCUCACACCCUCAGCUGUAAGCUCCCGGGAGGAGCACACUUGCAGAGCAGCCUUAAGCACAUGUUUUGACAUCAAGAGCUGACUUUGAAGGACCUUGAAUUUCUGCCAAGUGGCUUUGUUACAUUUUUCAAUGUCCUGUCUAGAUAUAAGACAAGACGAUACAUGUCUUUUAUCUUUUCUACAUGUCCAAGUAACCUACAUGUCUAUGGAAAGAUACAUGGAUAAAACAUUUGCAAUGGAAUAUUAUUCAGCCUUUAAAAGAAGGAUAAAAGAAAAUCUCCAUAAAAACGUUUAAGUAAAACAAAACCUAAAGAAGCCACUACAGUCACACCUAGCGCUUGGGCAAUAAGACGAGAGGUACAGCAGCCAAGUCAUACAGAAGCUUGCAGGCCAACUACCCUGAGUUGCACAAUGCAUUUGCAGAACAAGAAAGAUUUAGCUUCCUCAGACCAGGCAUGCAGAUACCUACCCCUUUGCAGUCGUGCAUGGACACACACAUACACACACACACAUGUACAAAUUAAUAAUUUUUUUAAAAAAAGCAAUUACACCAGAAAACAUUCUACAGAUCUGCUACAUAUAAAACCAUGCUUGGAGGUAUCAACAUUUUAAUAUACAUUAAAAAGGCUUUGUUUGUACUUUCUUCCUUUCUUUCCUUCUCUUUCAUUCCUUCUCUUUCUUUCUUUCUUUCUUUCUUUAUUUAUUUAUUUAUUUAUCUUCAUACCAAAUGCUGCCCCCUCCCAGUACCCCCUUGAGAGUUUUCCCCCAGUCCUUACUUCCCUUCAUCUCUGAGAGGAUGCCAUCUUCCUCUUACAUCCUUCUACCCUAGAACAUCAAAUUUCUACAGGAUUGGGCUCAUCCUCUCCCACUGAGGCCAAACAAGUCAGCCCUCUACUCUGAACAUGGCAGGGACCUCUGACCAGCCUGUGUUUGCUCUUUGGUUGGUGGCUCAGGCUCUGGGAGCUCCAAGGGGUCCAGGUUAGUUGACAUUGUUGGUCUUCCUAUGGGGAAGACUUCUGUUUCUUCAGCCCUUUCUCUAACUCUUCCAUAGAGGUUCCCCCAACUUAGUCUAAUGCUUGGCUGUAGGUGUCUUCCUCUGUCUCAGUCAGCUACUGGUAGAGCCUUUCAGAGGGCAGCCAUGCUAGGCUCCUGUCUGCAAGCACAACACAGCAUCAGUAAUAGUGUCAGAGUUUGGUACCCACCCAUGGGAUGGGUCCUAAGUUGUCCCAUCACUGGUUGGUCACUCCUUCAGUCUCUGCUUCAUUUUGUCCCUGGAUUUUUCUUUUAGACCGGAGUAAUUUGAGGUUGAAGAUUUUGUAGUGGGGAGAAGGUAGACACUGUGCUUUUUCUUUUAACCACAAUAAUAAAUGAAAACUCUAAGCAGACAGUGACCCUCAGUCAUAGGAGAACGGUUUUGUGUCCCCACCUAAAGCUGCAGGGAAGGUCCAUGGAAUUUAUAUUUAUUUUUAUUUUUUAUGCAUACACAUUUUAGAUCCGGCCUUUUGUAUUUAAUUCGAACUUAAGAUCUAGAUUUCUAAAUGUCAGCGACAUUUGCUCAUUGCUGUGAUGAAAUGCUUGACAUAAAUUUAAAAGGGGGAAGAUUUAUUUUGCUCAUGGUUUUAGGGUGUGCAGUCUUUCACAGCAGACAGGAAACAGAGAAGGGAAGUGACAGGAAAGGACCAGGACUCUCGAAAUGAGCAAAACUAACAGAAUGAACAAAACACUCACAACACACACGUACACAAACACACACACACAAAUACACACAUACACAAACACACACACACACAGAGAGAGAGAGAGAAAGAGAGAGAGAGAGAGAGAGAGAGAGAGAGAGAGAGAGAGAGAGAGAGAGAGAGUUUACUCUACAGAGCCAAUGAGUUUACUGGCAGCCCAACAACCACUCUCUCAGUCUGGAAAGCAUCUCAAAAUUGCUCAGUUCAUGAGGUUGCAGGUCUUGGCAUUCCCAGUAAGACACAGAAACCCCAGAGAAUUCCUGGGGAGCUGCUGAUCUCCUGUCUACGUUGGAAUCCUAAAGCACUUAGUUCCAAUAUCAGUGACAGAAUGCCUCAGCAAUAGGAUAUACAUGGGCUUGCCACCAAGAAGGAGAGGAAGCAGGCAAAAUGCCACCAUAAGGUAUGUCCCUGAUUUAGGGUGGGUCUUUCUUCUUCUUCAAAUAAUUUAAUUAAGAAAAUACCUCAUAGAUAUGCCCAACCUUUUUAGGUUUUAAAAGUUGGGGUGUAUCCAGGUUGAUAACCAAGGUUAGCCAUUAUAUUUACUGAUCUACUUCCUCUAAACAGGUUUCCCUUUACCCAGUUUUACCACCUACCGAGUCUAUUCAAAUUUUAAGUAAAGCUGAAUAAAUCAAUGAAUUGAACUAUAUUACUGAGGUCAGAACAUUCAUUAUCUAAUGGUCUCUAAAAAUGCCACCAGAGACUUACUAAAAAGUGUGUUUUACAAAUCUCCCAGGUGUCUCUUGGCCCAAUCAAGGUGUUAAUUACAAUUAAUUAUUAUAAUAAUUAUUAUGCAAAUGGUGUUCAUAAUAAUUCAUUGACAUUGUAUUUAGAAUACAGUAUCUUAUAGUAUAAGUUCUAGAAAUACUCACCAUUAAUUGUUCUCUCUUAUGUGAUAGUUAUACAUUUUUAUAAAUAUAAAUUAUGAAUGAUUAUAUGCCAUAUGGGUGUAUAUGCAAAUAUGAUAACUACUAUCUAGAGUAUAACAUGUAUAAGGUAGGUUUUAAUAUGUGGCUUUUCCUAGAGAGACAGAAUGCACACAUCUAAUCAAACCAGAUAGAGAAUCAACAACAGACAAAAUUAUGAUCCCACCAAAGUGCAAUUUGGCAAACCACUAAGUUUAAUGAAGCUUGUUGCUAAAAUCCCUCCCCUGUAGGAGAUAUAAACAAACCCUCCUUCUAGGGUCCCCCAAACAACCAAAUGAAGUGCAGGGACCCAGUGAGUUAUCAGGUUUCCUUACAAAGGAAUGGAUGAAGGCAGGACAAUGGGGGAGUCUACAGCAGUACAGAAGGUCUGCACCCACUGAAUGAUGACUCUCCUAUGGUUGUGUAGAUGGAACCCCUUCCCAAGUACUUCCCCACCUACAUGCUCCAGCCCUUCCAAGACCCCAAGGCCACGUACGAUACAAGGACAAAAUUGCAUACAGCUAGUUGGAGGAUACCUAGAUACUCAGGUGAAGAUGGCCCCAUUCGCUCUCUGCUCCCAAACCCCGUGGGAGAGAGACCUCACCGCCUGAUCAGGUGGGCACUCCUGAGGCUGCAGAGCGGAGGAGACCACCAACACUGCCCACCCCUGCCCACAUCCCUGGCCCAAGAGGCAACUGUAUAAGGCCUCUGGGUUCCCGUAGGGGAGGGCCCAGGAGCGGCAGGAUCCCUGCGCCUGAGACACCGCCAGAACCUGAAGGAAACAGACCGGAUAAACAGUUCUCUGCACCCAAACCCCGUGGGAGGGAGAGCUAAACCUUCAGAGAGGCGGACACGCCUGGGAAACCAGAAGAGACUGCACUCUGUGCACAUCCAGACGCCAGAGGAAAACACCAAACGCCAUCUGGAACCCUGGUGCACGGAGGCUCCCGGAAAGAGCGGCGCAGAUCUUCCCGGUUGCUGCCGCCGCGGAGAGGACUUAGGCAGUACCCCACGAGCAAACUUGAGCCUUGGAACCACAGGUAGGACCAACUUUUCCCCUGCAAGAAACCUGCCUGGUGAACUCAAGACACAGGCCCACAGGAACAGCUGAAGACCUGUAGAGAGGAAAAACUACACGCCCGAAAGCAGAACACUCUGUCCCCAUAACUGGCUGAAAGAAAACAGGAAAACAGGUCUACAGCACUCCUGACACACAGGCUUAUAGGACAGUCUAGCCACAGUCAGAAAUAGCAGAACAAAGUAACACUAGAGAUAAUCUGAUGGCGAGAGGCAAGCGCAGGAACCCAAGCAACAGAAACCAAGACUACAUGGCAUCAUCGGAGCCCAAUUCUCCCACCAAAGCAAACACUGAAUAUCCAAACACACCAGAAAAGCAAGAUCUAGUUUCAAAAUCAUAUUUGAUCAUGAUGCUGGAGGACUUCAAGAAAGACAUAAAGAACUCCCUUAGAGAACAAGUAGAAGCCUACAGAGAGGAAUCGCAAAAAUCCCUGAAAGAAUUCCAGGAAAACACAAUCAAACAGUUGAAGGAAUUAAAAAUGGAAAUAGAAGCAAUCAAGAAAGAACACAUGGAAACAACCCUGGACAUAGAAAAUCAAAAGAAAAGACAAGGAGCUGUAGAUACAAGCUUCACCAACAGAAUACAAGAGAUGGAAGAGAGAAUCUCGGGAGCAGAAGAUUCCAUAGAAAUCAUUGACUCAACUGUCAAAGAUAAUGUAAAGCGGAAAAAGCUACUGGUCCAAAACAUACAGGAAAUCCAGGACUCAAUGAGAAGAUCAAACCUAAGGAUAAUAGGUAUAGAAGAGAGUGAAGAAUCCCAGCUCAAAGGACCAGUAAAUAUCUUCAACAAAAUCAUAGAAGAAAACUUCCCUAAC